rnacentral:rRNA from 1 species
ACAAUGAAGAGUUUGAUCCUGGCUCAGGAUGAACGCUAGCGGCAGGCUUAAUACAUGCAAGUCGAACGGUAACAUGAGUAGCAAUACUUGAUGACGAGUGGCGCACGGGUGCGUAACGCGUAUGCAACUUACCUUCAACUGGAAGAUAGCCCCUCGAAAGAGGGAUUAAUAUUCCAUAAUUUUAUGAUUUGGCAUCAAAUUAUAAUUAAAGAUCAGUCGGUUGAAGAUAGGCAUGCGUGACAUUAGCUAGUUGGUGAGGUAAUGGCUCACCAAGGCAACGAUGUCUAGGGGAUCUGAGAGGACUAACCCCCACACUGGUACUGAGACACGGACCAGACUCCUACGGGAGGCAGCAGUAAGGAAUAUUGGUCAAUGGAGGCAACUCUGAACCAGCCAUGCCGCGUGAAGGAUGAAGGCCCUAUGGGUUGUAAACUUCUUUUAUACGGGAAGAAACCUCCGCACGUGUGCGGAGCUGACGGUACUGUAAGAAUAAGGAUCGGCUAACUCCGUGCCAGCAGCCGCGGUAAUACGGAGGAUCCAAGCGUUAUCCGGAUUUAUUGGGUUUAAAGGGUGCGUAGGCGGAAUAGUAAGUCAGUGGUGAAAGCCUGUCGCUUAACGACAGAACUGCCAUUGAUACUGCUAAUCUUGAGUAUAAUUGAAGUGGGCGGAAUGUGUCGUGUAGCGGUGAAAUGCUUAGAUAUGACACAGAACACCAAUUGCGAAGGCAGCUCACUAAACUAUAACUGACGCUGAGGCACGAAAGCGUGGGGAUCAAACAGGAUUAGAUACCCUGGUAGUCCACGCUGUAAACUAUGAUUACUCGAUGUGUGCGAUAUACAGUACGCGUCUUAGCGAAAGUGAUAAGUAAUCCACCUGGGGAGUACGCUCGCAAGAGUGAAACUCAAAGGAAUUGACGGGGGCCCGCACAAGCGGAGGAGCAUGUGGUUUAAUUCGAUGAUACGCGAGGAACCUUACCUGGGCUUGAAA